rnacentral:rRNA from 1 species
GACGAACGCUGGCGGCGUGCUUAACACAUGCAAGUCGAACGGAAAGGCCCUGCUUUUGUGGGGUGCUCGAGUGGCGAACGGGUGAGUAACACGUGAGUAACCUGCCCUUGACUCUGGGAUAACUUCAGGAAACUGGGGCUAAUACCGGAUAGGAUCUCCUGCUGCAUGGUGGUGGUUGGUAAGUUUCGGCGGUUGGGGAUGGACUCGCGGCUUAUCAGCUUGUUGGUGGGGUAGUGGCUUACCAAGGCUUUGACGGGUAGCCGGCCUGAGAGGGGGACCGGCCACAUUGGGACUGAGAGAGGGCGCAGACGGCUACGGGAGGCAGCAGUGGGGAAUAUUGCAGAAUGGGCGGAAGCCUGAUGCAGCAACGCCGCGUGCGGGAUGACGGCCUUCGGGGUGUAAACCGAUGUCGCCUGUGACGAGGCGGGAGUGACGGUAAUGGGUAAAGAAGCACCGGCUAACUACGUG